GCCGGCGUAGCUCAAUUGGUAGAGCGUGGGACUCAUAAGCCCAAGGUAACUGGUUCGAAACCAGUCGCCGGCA
rnacentral:tRNA from 1 species